CUCUUGCAAAUCAAAGCAUAAGAGGUCCCGCCUGCCCUGUGACUAUGGGUUUAACGGCCGCGGUAUUUUGACCGUGCGAAGGUAGCGCAAUCACUUGUCUUUUAAAUGAAGACCUGUAUGAAUGGCAUCACGAGGGCUUAGCUGUCUCCUCUCCCAAGUCAAUGAAAUUGAUCUGCCCGUGCAGAAGCGGACAUAAGUACAU
rnacentral:rRNA from 1 species